CUUAAUGCUGCGCUUGCCUCCUCAUUUCCCAGAAGGGUUGCAAACCUGCUGCAUGUGAAAGAGCCGGCCUUAUAGCCAGAACACCUCAUCCUGUCCUUCCACACCAGUGCUCAUCCUUUCUGGUGCUCUUCCACCUGAGUAAGGGGUGUUCUUCUGGGCUGGCUAGUUUUUGUCACCUUGACGCAAACCAGUCAUUUGGAAAGAGGGAACCUGGAGAUGACUCCACCAGAUUGCUUAUAAGGAAGGCUGUGGAACUUUUCCCCCCUUGAUUAAUUACUGAUGUGGAAGGGCACAGCCCACAGUGUGUGGCACCACCCCUGGGCAGGUAGCCUUGGGAGGUGUGAAAAAGGUAGUUGAAUGUGAGCCGACAAGUAAGCCAGUAUGCAGCGUCUCCCCAUGUUCUCUGCUGCAGUUCCUGCUCUGUGCACCUGCCUAACCUGGGUUGCAGCCCUCUGUCAUUGAUUGGGAUUUGGAUUUCCUCCCUAGGUGCUUUUGGUCAGCAUCUUUACCACAGCGACAGCAAGUCACUUUUCUCAUCCGUGGGAACUUUGUUCCCUCCAAGCAUUGGAAAGGUCGGGUGCUCAUGGAAGUGUACCUUCACCUCGUUGACCCUUCAUUACCCUACCGAUUUAUUUGGCCCUUGUCGUGCUCAGAGGUCAACAGUGAUCUCUAUGUCACCAAAUGCACUGAACACUUUGCCUUUGGAACCCUUCCCUGCAGAGAUUUACCCACUAUGCCAUGCACUGUGGGUGCGUCUUACAUCUUUCUAGAUUUUUCUUCCCAGUUUCCUUAUCUUUGGAAGACCUCUUAGCUCAGUGAAACAAUCCCAUUUUACUCAAAAUCAGGGUCUAUUCUGGGUCUCUCUGAAGCUGACAUAUGCAUAACUUGUAAACUGUGAGGUUCUUAGCCAUUGUUAUAAAGUGUCAGCCUUCCCCAGGACUCACUUUGGGGUUUCUUUUCUGUAAAUUUAUUGUUUUCCAUGUUAAUUGAUCUCAAACAGUGGCUUCGACUGCUGUGCAUAACUAAUGCCUCUAACAUUCUUUCUACAACCUCAUUUCUAAAGCUCCAUAUUCAACAGGCAUCUGUAAUUGAAUACCUUGAAUCUUAAAACACAAGGUUCAAACAUAACACCUUUCCCCAGUUCAGCUGGUUUCCUCACUGUAAUCACUAAUAUGGAGAAUUACAUCCAUUAACAGUAAACCCAAACUAGGUCCUAAGAGGGAAGGUAGUCAUUCAACAUCUAACACCUCCUUAAGCCAAUGAACUAGCAGGGUAUGAUACCAGAGACAUGUAAUCCUAGUACUCAAAGGCUGAGGAAGGAGAUCAGAGUUCAAGGCCAUCUUCAGCUACAUGAUGAGUUCAAGGCAACCCUAUCUCAUAUUAAUGAAAAAAUAAAAAAACGAAUGCAAUCAACAAACUCAGUAGAUGACUAAUGCCUCCAUGCUAAUGAACAGCUUUCCGUCUCGCUUGCCACUCCUGGUUGUUUUUUACUGUUGACUCUCCAGUCUACGCUGUGAUUUUGCACUGGGUCCCACAAGUAUACAGUCCUCCUGCCAUUGACUAUGUUUCCAGGCACACAGGCUCCCCUGGCACAAUCUCACCUUCUCAAGAGCUCUUAUAGCAGGAAGAAUGCCUUGGAGCCUUCAUGUGUGAACCCACCCUUUGAAUCCACAUGCACAACCCUCUGUGACUCAGAUGUCUUCUCCAUGUUCCAUCUAGAUCAUUCUCCUGAACUCUUCCGCAUCCCUCCUUCCAAGAAGUUUAUCUACCAUGCCUUACAGACCCUACAGUGGCUUCAUACAAUUCCACUGGGUUCAUAGGCACUUGUGUGAAUCUCUUCGGGGCAGACAGUAGUGUAGUGUUGUGGUUAUAAGUCCGUGUUUCACAGUCAGCUUAGCUGGGCACGUGGCUAAGCGCCAAUAUUUAUGUGACGGUAGCAAGUUGUUUCACCUGCCCACACCUCUGUUUCUUCCUCUUUAAAGGGAAGGUUUUUCCAAGAUAGGGUUGUAUAAAGAUUGAAUGGACAGAAACUGAAGAUGUCUGGAAUGCCUAGUAUGAAGUAGGUCUUGGUAAAAGUUUUUUCCUGUGGCACUCCUCCUCCUCCUUCUCCUCCUCCUCCUCCUCCUCCUCCUCACCACCACCAUCAUCAUCAUCACCUUCAUCACCAUCAACAGCAGCAGCAGCCUUUCCUUUUCCUUUCUUUUGCAUUUCCUCCUUCUUCUCAUCAUGUCCUCCCCUUUUCUUCCUGUGUUCCUCCUUCCCUUUUCAUACUCUAUCUCUUCUUUUGUAAAACCUUCUCUCCCAUGAGAAAACUAAAGGAGUCCCAUAGUAAAGCCACUGAUGCUUUACUAUGCCAGUUCUCAGUUCUGUGUAGAAAGGUCUUUGUUGUUUGGCACGAGGGAAUGAAUAAGAACAAAGUAUAAUAACAUAGAGGUGUAAAAGUGAUACAACUGAACCCAUUACCUUGAAUGCUAACUCAAAAAAAAAUGAGAAGCAAAAAGUUUAAAAAAUUUUUUGUGCUGAAAUUAGCAUGAUUCAUUGUAGUGUUUAUGAAAACAAACACAAAGAUAUUACAAGGGUUUGGAGGUGGAGCUCCACAGUGAGUAUGCCUGACAUACAUGUGUGAUCUCUAGAACUCUAUAAAUAAACAAAAAAAUAAAUUAAAGAAGGAUGAAAGGUCUAUAUGAAUGUUAAAUGUGAAAGAAUGAAGUAUUUUUUAUAAAUGCAUGCUAAUUAUAGUAACGUCACCUACUUAUUAUUUAUUAAUCAAAAGAGCCUUUAAAAAUCACGAGCACACUCCAUUAUUGUGUAAUAUUCACAAGUGAUUGAUUAAGUCCCAUGAUUAGAUUACUUACUUUUCUAUGUCAUAAUUACUCUAACCUCACAUUUUCAUACCAGAACUGAAAUGAUAGGUAAGAGUUUUAUAAUCUUGGAAAGUAAAGAAGCAUAAUAACAUUUUGACCAGAGAAAGAGGUAUGAAAAAUUUAAAGGUGCAAAUUAGUAGAAAAGAAGGAAUCUUUAAAAAAAAAAAUUGUCGUGGUUCUAAUCAUGGGUGAAGCAACUGUAGGUAAUGGAAGGAGGCAGGACUGUGGUGUGAUGGCCUGUCUCAGCCAUUUACCUGAGUAGCUUUGGCCAGCUCACCUUUCUGAAACUGUUUGUGUCAAGUUUCCAAGACUUGGAAGCAAGGAGGGAAUGUGUUUAGAAAUAGUCAUGUUCUGUGCUUUUUAUUAUAGUGACUUUUAAAUUUAUAUUGGUUUGUUUUGCCAUGGCGGGGGGUCAAGUUCAAGACUUUGCACAUAGGCAUGCUAGGCAAGUUAUCACUGAUCCACACCCCAGCCCAUUGCUGGGUUUAAACUGGGCUAAUUGUUAGAGUCUAUCUUUGUUUUUUGUUUUGUAUACACAGAUAGAGUUCUAGAAAAUUUGUUUUUCUAUAUUUUCAGUUUUCUCAAAGUUAAAAGUGAUAACAUUACUUCUCCUCUGCGACCCCCCACUUCUGGAUUUGCAAUAGAAUUAAAAAUCCCAAGAGCUGCCGAAAAGGCCUUGUGUAUUUUGUUGGUACAUACCUCAGUGUUUUCCAAAGCUCUCCUCCUUCACCCCAAUAUCUAUUAAUAAUCCCAAGCACAUUAGUGUUCUCUGGAGCAUGCUUUGCAUAAUAUGGAUAUGUUUACUGCUUUGGGUUGGAUGCUAUGAAAUGUUGAGCAUUAUUUUUUUUAUUAAGGUUGGGUUUUGCUGCAUUUUAGUCAUAAUAAGCUUUUGUUCUUAAUGAGGUUGACCCCCAGCUUGUAAGCUGAGAGUAACUGACAGUGAACAAGGAAAUUAAUUUGCAAAUUAGACUCUUGGGGAGAAAUUUUGUUUACUUUUUUUCUUAACAGUAGUCAAGUCCUUCUGAGUCUAAAAGGCCCUCUUACCGUAUUCUAUUGAACAUUACCCAGGGCAGCAAAAGUAAGAAGUUGGUACCAAAAUAAUAUUGGGAAACCUUUCAGUGCAAAGAAUUUGUGAAACAUAUUUAAAAUACUGUAAGAUGUUCAAACUAGUUAGCAGAGGAGGCAGCCACUUCAUACUUAGUAAACGAUAGCAACUCUUUGUGUUAGUUAGUGUUACAAAUACUCAGCAUUAUGGGAUCCAACAUGUAGCUGUUAUUUGGUUAUUCGUGUGUGUGUGUGUGUGUGUGUGUGUGUGUGUGUGUGUGUGUGUGUGUGUGUGUGUGUCUCGCAACUAGUUAAUAUUACAAGAACAUUUACUCUGUUAUUAAUCUGUUCUGAACCCGCAACUGUUGUGUGAUGGUUUCGCUUAUUUCUGCUUGAAUGUGACCUAAUAAUAGAGAAGGAAGCUAAUGAAAGCUCAGCACUGUUCCUUUUGUACAGCUCGUCUAGGCUUCACUGUGACAUAUUUGUUCAUUAAGUUCUUAGGCUACACAUGUAUAAAACUAUUGUAAGUCAUCUCUGAAUGACGGAAACUUUAUUUGGCACCAGUAGGUCAUAUGAUGCUUUUCACUCUCUACAAGACUGCCAUUCAGCAACAUCCAAGAAGGAAGGGGUGGGUCUGUUUUCCUUGUGGUUUGGUAUACUUUGCCUCCUCAUUUAAAUGUCCCUCCUUCUUUCCUGUGUACCUUUCCUGAUGGCUUGAACAUUGCACUGGUUUCACAAUCCUUUGUCUACAUGGAAGAAUUCAGCUUUUGCCACUGGGUUUGUUUUAUUCGUGGAAAAUUUGUAAAUUCUCAUUCAAACUACCAUUGGUAAAUAUUGGACAUGUUAUUACUUAUUGGCCUUAUCAAUGUGUGAGACUUAACCUGAUUUACUAGAUAAUCUUUGUUUUCAUUGGAACAUGAAUUUUGGCUCACGUAGGAGCUUUCAGGAAGAGGCAGAGUGGAAGAAGUCAACAGACUUGCAGUGGAAUUUCAUUUUCCACCGUAAUUCACAGAGACGGUACACUCUUUUGUCGUUUUUCCUCUGGCUUCUGUGAGCUAUGGCUGUUUCCAUGCUGCAGAGUUGCGCAGUGGAAACUGUUCGAUGCCAGCACAGGUUCUAACUAGCUAAAUGACUAAGAACAAGGCAUUUAACAUUUCUGGAUCUAAGUUUCCUCGUUUGUAAAAGGAAGAGGUCAGAUCAAGUUGUUUUAAUCUAACCUAAGAUAAUAUUCUAUGGUUGUAAUAUACCAGCAGUAAAAAUAUAAGAUAUGAACUUGUACUGUUACUUCCUGUAAAAAAAGCAUUCAUAACAAAACUUGGUACCUAUUUGUAUUAACUUUACUUAGCAACAGAGGAUGAUAAUGGCUUCUGAAUCACUGAAAACCACUGAACUAAUGUGCAAUUGUAACCCAAAAUUAGUCACAUUUAUUCUUAACAAUUAUCUUACCCCCUUUGCCCAUUUUAAACUACUGUGAUUAUUUUUUGUUAGCACUUUGGGGAAAAAAUGACUUUUUGCAUGUUUUUAAUUAUGAAAAUGUUAUUUUAGUAAAUGUAAUUUAAUUGAAAUGAGAAUUUGUGCCAGCUAUUUUAAAUAAACACAGUAUUCUUCCGCUCA